GGAUAGAGGCGCGUUGGUCAAGAGUAUCUCCCUUGCUGCGGCAGGAACCGCGGAGUGAAAGGGGUCAUCGCCGAAGGGUAUCUGUUUUCCUGGGCAGGUAUCGCUGGGCUGCCGGAUAAGAUCCGGCGGACUGUCGCGAAAGCGGAGAGCUGUCUG
rnacentral:ncRNA from 1 species